GACGAACGCUGGCGGCGUGCUUAACACAUGCAAGUCGAACGGAAAGGCCCUGCUUUUGUGGGGUGCUCGAGUGGCGAACGGGUGAGUAACACGUGAGUAACCUGCCCUUGACUUUGGGAUAACUUCAGGAAACUGGGGCUAAUACCGGAUAGGAGCUCCUGCUGCAUGGUGGGGGUUGGAAAGUUUCGGCGGUUGGGGAUGGACUCGCGGCUUAUCAGCUUGUUGGUGGGGUAGUGGCUUACCAAGGCUUUGACGGGUAGCCGGCCUGAGAGGGUGACCGGCCACAUUGGGACUGAGAUACGGCCCAGACUCCUACGGGAGGCAGCAGUGGGGAAUAUUGCACAAUGGGCGGAAGCCUGAUGCAGCAACGCCGCGUGCGGGAUGACGGCCUUCGGGUUGUAAACCGCUUUCGCCUGUGACGAAGCGUGAGGGACGGUGAUGGGUAAAGAAGCACCGGCUAACUACGU
rnacentral:rRNA from 1 species